GGGGCCGACUGGUUUUGACAGCGGGUCUAAUGGUACUGUAAGCAUGUCGAGCGCUGGAACACAGCUCGUAAAUCUCAUGAUUCACACUUUUUAAACGGCGAGAAUAACUACGCCCUAGCUGCAUAAUCCGAAUUACAGUAGGAUAAUGCCUCGGUCCGCAAGGCGGACAAGCAGGAAGUCACUCAAACACCUUGGUUUGCGGUUUUUGAUAUAGUGACUUCGUAAAAGUAAACCUAGCUUGUGUAGGGCUUUGAUACACUUGCGAAACCCAAAUUGAAGCUAAGGGGUGCGUUGGUAGUUUUCGACCGGCAAAUCCACGAAAACCGAAAUGAAAACUAAACAUGUAGAAAGUAGUAUUGUUACGCGUUUGGACGAGGGUUCGACUCCCUCCGGCUCCACUU
rnacentral:tmRNA from 1 species